rnacentral:lncRNA from 1 species
GUUUGGAUCUCAUCUUUUACAGCUGUUUUCCCUUUUGUUUUAUAAACUUUAAAAUUUCCUGGUUCUCAUCAUUCCUCUGACCUCAGCAAUAUUGGAUGGUGACACCCAGAGCUUCUUGGUUUUCUUGAGCAACUGGAUUGCUGCUGCUGCUGCGUCGCUUCAGUCAUGUCCGACUCUGUGUGACCCCAUAGACGGAAGCCCACCAGGCUUCCCCAUCCCUGGGAUUCUCCAGGCAAGAACACUGGAGUGGGUU